rnacentral:rRNA from 1 species
CCAAUAGCGUAUAUUAAAGUUGUUGCAGUUAAAAAGCUCGUAGUUGAACUUCGGGGUCUACCCAUUGGUCAGGCUUAAUUGUCUGCACUGGUGAGAUGGAUCUCUACCUUCUGAGGAACUUUCAUGCCAUUUAUUUGGUGUGAUUGGAAAUCAGGACUGUUACUUUGAAAAAAUUAGAGUGUUUAAAGCAGACUAUCGUCUGAAUACAUUAGCAUGGAAUAAUGAAAUAGGACGGACUGAUUCUAUUUCGUUGGUUUCUAGGAUCACCGUAAUGAUUAAUAGGGAUAGUUGGGGGCAUUAGUAUUCAAUUGUCAGAGGUGAAAUUCUUGGAUUUAUUGAAGACUAACUACUGCGAAAGCAUUUGCCAAGGAUGUUUUCAUUAAUCAAGAACGAAAGUUAGGGGAUCGAAGACGAUCAGAUACCGUCGUAGUCUUAACCAUAAACUAUGCCGACUAGGGAUCGGAUGAUGUUAAUUUUUUAAUGACUCAUUCGGCGCCUUACG